GAAUUCGCCCUUAGAGUUUGAUCCUGGCUCAGGACGAACGCUGGCGGCGUGCUUAACACAUGCAAGUCGAACGGAGUUGCAGGGAUAGUUUACUAACCUUGCAAUUUAGUGGCGGACGGGUGAGUAACACGUGGGCAACCAACCUUAAAGAGGGGGAUAACAACGAGAAAUCGUUGCUAAUACCGCAUAAAGUUAGCUAAUCGCAUGAUAAGCUAAUGAAAGGAGAAAUCCGCUUUAAGACGGGCCCGCGCCUGAUUAGCUAGUUGGUGGGAUAAAAGCUCACCAAGGCGACGAUCAGUAGCCGAUCUGAGAGGAUGACCGGCCACACUGGAACUGAGACACGGUCCAGACUCCUACGGGAGGCAGCAGUGGGGAAUAUUGCACAAUGGGCGAAAGCCUGAUGCAGCAACGCCGCGUGAGGGAAGACGGUCUUCGGAUUGUAAACCUUUAACUUUGGAGAAGAAAGAAAUGACGGUAUCCAAAGGGGCAGCCACGGCUAACUACGUGCCAGCAGCCGCGGUAAUACGUAGGUGGCAAGCGUUGUCCGGAAUUACUGGGUGUAAAGGGAGCGCAGGCGGGGAAGCAAGUCGGCUGUGAAAUGCAUAGGCUUAACCUAUGAAUUGCAGUUGAAACUGUUUUUCUUGAGUGGAGUAGAGGUAGGCGGAAUUCCGAGUGUAGCGGUGAAAUGCGUAGAUAUUCGGAGGAACACCAGUGGCGAAGGCGGCCUACUGGGCUCUAACUGACGCUGAGGCUCGAAAGUGUGGGGAGCAAACAGGAUUAGAUACCCUGGUAGUCCACACUGUA
rnacentral:rRNA from 1 species